AUUGAAACACUGGUUCCCGUACGCUCAUCAAAGUUAAACAAAGUUGAGCCUGGUCAGUACCUAGAUGGGUGACCACAUAGGAAUACCAGGUUCUGUA